CCUACGGGCGGCAGCAGUGGGGAAUAUUGCACAAUGGGGGAAACCCUGAUGCAGCGACGCCGCGUGAGUGAAGAAGUAUUUCGGUACGUAAAGCUCUAUCAGCAGGGAAGAACAUGACGGUACCUGACUAAGAAGCCCCUGCUAACUACGUGCCAGCAGCCGCGGUAAUACGUAGGGGGCAAGCGUUAUCCGGAUUUACUGGGUGUAAAGGGAGCGUAGACGGCAGCGCAAGUCUGGAGUGAAAUCCCAUGGCUUAACCAUGGAACUGCUUUGGAAACUGUGCAGCUAGAGUGCAGGAGAGGUAAGCGGAAUUCCUAGUGUAGCGGUGAAAUGCGUAGAUAUUAGGAGGAACACCAGUGGCGAAGGCGGCUUACUGGACUGUAACUGACGUUGAGGCUCGAAAGCGUGGGGAGCAAACAGGAUUAGAUACCCCAGUAGUC
rnacentral:rRNA from 1 species